rnacentral:rRNA from 1 species
UAACGCGUAGGAACCUGUCGUUGAGUGGGGGAUAACGCUGGGAAACCGGCGCUAAUACCGCAUGUGGUCACGGAAGUGAAGAAAGCAGCAAUGCGCUCGAUGAGGGGCCUGCGUCCGAUUAGCUAGUUGGUGUGGUAAGAGCGCACCAAGGCGACGAUCGGUAGCUGGUCUGAGAGGAUGGUCAGCCACACUGGGACUGAGACACGGCCCAG